rnacentral:lncRNA from 10 species
GGCUUGUACUAUAGCAUAGCCUGCCUUUGCUGGUGCGUGGCGAUUAGGCCUGGUGGAACUGCCAUCAAUAAACUAAGCGUGAUAAGGGUGAGGAACAGGGAAGAAGGAAAUGUGGGGAAAUGGGGUGAACGUCAUUUGGAUCAGAGAGAUGCAGUCAUGAGGGUCAGGUGUGGUAUCAGGAAUAAUGUGGGAGGCUGGAUUGAAGUCCAGGCCAGGAACAAUGGUAAUUAUGGGACUUAACAAAGAGUGAGUACAGCUGAAGGAGCCGGAGAGCAGAAAGUAUAUGUGUCAGGUGUGAGGAAGAAAAUAGAUUUUGGAAAUUAUGAGAGCCGUAGAGAGUGAGUUGAGGAUAGUUUGUGAUUUUAAGGGCCUCUAAAAGUAUUAGGGCGGUAGCAGCCACUGCACGGAGACAUGAUGGCCAGCCUAAAACAAAUUAUGCCGAGGUAGGUAAUGGAUGGAGAAGAAAUUUGAGCUUUGGAGGGAGAUACCCGAUAUCCUUUGGAGAAUAGAUGCUGAAGGAGCAGAAGUGUGUCUCGUUGAGAAGAUUCAAAGGAGGGGCUACAAAGAAGAAGGUCAUCAAUAUAUUGAAUAAGGUGAGAAGCGGAGGGGUGGAAAGAAAGUAAAUCAUGAGAAAGAGCUUGGCUGAAGUAAUGAGGGCCGUCCCUGAAGCCUUAUGGCCGCACAGCCCAGGCAAGCUGCUGGCACUGAUGGGUGUCAGGGUCAGUCCAGGUGAAAGCAAAGAGAGGCUGGGACUAGGGGUACAGGGGAAUAGUGAAAAAAGCAUCUUUAAGAUCA